rnacentral:rRNA from 1 species
CCUACGGGUGGCUGCAGUGGGGAAUAUUGCACAAUGGGGGAAACCCUGAUGCAGCGACGCCGCGUGAAGGAAGAAGUAUUUCGGUAUGUAAACUUCUAUCAGCAGGGAAGAAAAUGACGGUACCUGACUAAGAAGCCCCGGCUAACUACGUUCCAGCAGCCGCGGGGAUAAGUAGGGGGCAAGCGUUAUCCGGAUUUACUGGUUGUAAAGGGAGCGUAGGCGGUUUAGAAAGUAAGAAGUGAAAGCCCUGGGCUCAACUCCGGGACUGCUUUUGAAACUGUUGAACUAGAGUGCAGGAGAGGUGAGUGGAAUUCCUAGUGUAGCGGUGAAAUGCGUAGAUAUUAGGAGGAACACCAGUGGCGAAGGCGGCUUACUGGACUGUAAAUGACGCUGAGGCUCGAAAGCGUGGGGAGCAAACAGGAUUAGAUACCCGAGUAGUC